rnacentral:tRNA from 1 species
UCUAAGAGUGGCAGAAAAGUGCAAUGAACUUAAAAUUCAAAUAUAAAUUCAAUUUUCCUUAGAA